AUCCAGCUGACGAGUCCUCAAUAGAACGAUAUGCGCGUCCUAGAU
rnacentral:hammerhead_ribozyme from 1 species